rnacentral:rRNA from 1 species
AAGGGCAAAGGGAAGAAGAAGGGAAACUUCAAGAAGAAUGGCAAACAAGUUGCUGCUCAAGAGAAGAAACCAAAGUCUGGACCUAAGCCUGAAACUGAGUGCUUCUACUGCAAGCAGACUGGUCACUGGAAGCGGAACUGCCCCAAGUAUUUGGCGGAUAAGAAGGAUGGCAAGGUGAACAAAGGUAUAUGUGAUAUACAUGGUAUUGAUGUGUACCUUACUAGAGCUCGCAGUAGCACCUGGGUAUUUGAUACUGGUUCUGUUGCUAAUAUUUGCAACUCAAAGCAGGGACUACGGAUUAAGUGA